GGCAAACUCGAUCAGUUUUACUUGCUUGUAUGAAACAUAAAGAUUAAUGCCAUUAAGUGAUUACACCAUGUCCACAAAUGCCUUAAUUUGUUUCAGCAACAGGCCGGACAGUACCAUAUCUCACUGUUGAUCUGGCAAGUCCUGAGCUCAUGCUGGCACAAUUGGCUUGAGCAUUUGCAGGACACCAAUCUUCUAUACAGUUAAAAUGAUUCAGCGAAGAUUGAUUGUCAACACAUUUAGUCCAAGAAUCCUAAUAGCAUUUUAUCAGAACAACCACAUUUUUGUCUAAGAAAACUAUUUCCCAUCACUGUAUAUACCCAUUAGGCCAUUAUGUCUGCAUAUGUUGUAUCAGCAUGAGGCUAUGGUAUGCUGCAAAAGUGAAAGUAGGAUUGAGAUGAGAGCAGUACUCAGGAUACAAGAGCUGGGAGUGCACCCAGACCAUGGGCCUAGCACAUCUGGAUUCUGGACACAGCCAUAUGGAGGGUUGAGGGAAGGGAGAUGGAUGAUAUUUUGCUUAAUGCCUCAAUCAAUGCAUGAAUCAGUAGCAUAGGAUUCAGGGUCAAGGGCUUGUCGCACACUGGUAGGGGUGCAAAUUGGUGAGCCUUAGGUGCACCUCCAACCCUCUUUAGUUCAAACUUUUGUGCUACUUCUCCAAAAUAAGAUCCAAUUUUAGAAAAUUAGCACAAAUAUUUGAACUAAAGAGGGUUGGAGGUGCACCUAAGGGUCACCAAUUUGCACCCUUACACACUGGCAUGGUUUGGCUCAGUAGAAUUGAGGAAUGCCAAUCAUGACUUGUUCCUGCUUCCUGCGUUGUGCCACAUUCAGUAACCUAUUUAAUGCGAAGUCCUGAGACUGCACGGAAGAAACAUGUUGCCUCAUUGAUCAAUGGUCUAUGCAUAACAGUUUCUCCGCCUAAUUCCUACUGCCUAUACCAAGCUAUUUUACACCCAUCCAGGAACUGCAAACAGCGACCUGAUGGCUAAUUCCUACAGAUGGUGCCACACAGCUUGCAUAGUGGCAUGAUGCUACCAUGGUAUUCAGGAAUGCCUUCUCUAGCUCUGCAGAGGAACCUCUCCUGAGCAGGCACAUGGCAUACUCCAUGACUGCGGCACCACAAGGAAGUGAGAUCCACCCAUCGGCCAUCGCUCACGAAGCCAAACUCCUCCUGGGAUAUCUGCAGGAGCACUGCGAAG